UCUGUCCUUAAGUUAUCUAAAACAAAUUCAGACACCCUUAUCAUAUACAGAGAAUUUCAACACAUUAAGAGUUCUGAGGAGUCUACUUGCUACCUCACCGCCUUCGUUUGAAUAGUUCUGAGGAGUCUACUUUCUACCUAAACUCUACCUGUUUUACACAACCCCCUAAUAAGGGUCCCAUAAGUGACAAUGUCUAGUUCACACCCAUUUGAAGUCAUGUUUUGAACAAUAUUAGCCGCUUUUUUUAUAUUUCCAUUCCUGCAGAAAUAUGUGAGAAGAGAAUUGUAGGUGAACUCGUCAGGGACCAAGCCUUCCAUUAUCAUCUGAUCCAUUAGUUGAGACGCUGCCUCCACUCCCCUGUUCUGACAUAGCCCAUCAAUUAGAGUGUUGUAGGUCACUGCGUCUCUUGAAAUCCCCUGUAGUUUCAUCUGAUCAAAAAUCUCAUCAGCUUCUUCUAUCCUCUUAUUUUUGCACAACCCAUUAAUCAAAGUAUUUUAUAUUACCACAUUUCAAGCGCAAUCACUAGAUUCCAUUUCUUUAAGCAGAUUCAAAGCUUCCCUAAUCCUCCCUUUAGAACAGUGGCUAUCAAUCAAUAUGUUGUAAGUAAACUCAUCAGGCUGGCAACUUUUGCUCUUCAUCUCCUUGAAUAGUUCCAUUUCAAGGUCAUGUUUACUGGUCAAGCAGAGACCUUGAAUCAGGGAAUGGAAGGUACAAGCAUCCGGUAAAAUCCCCUUGCUUGUAAGAACACGAGCAAGUUCAGUUUCCUCUUUGGCCUGGUUCUCCUUACACAAGGUACAAAAAUGUUUUGAGAGAAAGAUACAACAACUGCAAGAACUUCAGGGUGACAUUUGGGAUUAACAUCCAUGGAAUGUCUCGUCUGUCGAGCAGAAUAAGUACACAAAGACGUCGUCAGCAGCUGCUUUCCCUCCCCAGGGAGACAUGACGGUUAAACGAAAACAUGAGAAUGCUGCUAAGAAGGAUGAAGGGGCUGUUAAGAAAGAGAAUUUGGAGGAUCUCAUAUGCAAAGGCUCUUGCUAGGAAGUGGAAGGCUGCAUUCAAUUUGGUUUCCACAAGUAAGUCUAAGAAGCAGAAGGAGGUUGUUCCAUCUGAUUUGGAAGAGUCAGAUGGAAAUGUCAAGGAGGAGAUUACUGAAGAUGAUGAAGGGGCAUUUGAAGUUGAUUCACGCAAAAUGAUUAAUCAGUGCUCUUUCGAAAGGAUUGUGCGGAUAGUGGAUACAUUGACGGAUGAACUGAAGGCAAUGGUAAGAGAGGAUGGAUUGGGGCAUAUUUGAGGGUUGAUUACCCCUAUAUACAGUGAGCUAGUUAAAUGGCUCUUUGACUGCGUAGAUGUUGGUGGCAACUGCCUUAACUUAUAUGAGAAGAAUGUGCCAAUGUCCCAAAAAAAAAAAUUCAACAGGUUAUGGAGGUUCCUGAUGGGAAUGUACUGAUCGACAUUGACACAAAGGUCGGUGAUAUGGAGUUGGCGGUGCAACUAAAUAGUAAAAAUAGAAUCAGCUUACAGUAUUGGAGAAAUAAUUGUUAGAGUAUGGUGAGGUUGGUAGUUUUUUCUUGGCGAGUUUUGUCCUUGUCAUCCUUGGGAGCAUCCUGGUUCCAGGUACCGAGAACACCAUGCAUUCUAGUUAUAUCGGUGCCGUUAUUGAUCCUGCCAAGAUGAAGUCUCAAAACUGGGCAACUCAUGCAUACAAUGAAAUCUGUGGGGAAGUAUAAAGCUCACCGCUUAAUUCAUGCAAAAGGUUGUUGUGCCUUUCUACAGUUGUUGUACUUCAAUCAUAUUGACAUUCCGAAUAUGGUUGUCGACCAUAGUGUCUCCCCAAUAAGAUUUUGGACGGACAACAAGGAAAUCAGGAGUCAAGACUUAUGUAUGUCAUAAUGGGGAGUAUGGUGCCUACAAAACAGUUUGUGUUGUUGAUGAACUGCAUGCAAAAUGAGUCAUCAAUUGGAUUCGUUGAAUUCAAAUGAGGCAAGCAGUGUGAAUGAGGAUGUCAGGUGCUUAACUAACAAGGUUAUGACAAUGAGUCAUCAAUUGGAUUCGUUGAUGACAACGAUUGUAGGAUUACCCGUGUCAAUCAAGGUUAUGAUUGCAAGCGAGCUUAAGCAUCUUAAAGUCGGCACUUCGGUGGUGGAUGCCCCAGUGAAAGAGGGUGAUGUGGGUGCGAAAGAUAUCGAAGGCCAAUCUGUGCAUGAUGCAGGUGUAGAUCACAUUAUGGACGUGACCAAUGUUUAUGAAGAUGUCAAUGCUUUUGGAGACUCUUUUAAUAAUCCAAAGGAACGCCACAAGUGGGGGGACGUUGGUUAUGCGAAUUUUCAGUCAAAGGAAGGGACUGUAGUUGGAUCUUUCAAGCUCUCCAUGGUUGUAUCCUUGCUGAUGUUCAAACUGGUUGAGUUUGUCUACAACACAUACCUUCAAGAUUUUUGUGUUAGGUACAUUGUGUGUGAUUACGGGAUCUAUUAUUGGAUUGUGCCUGCAUAAGGUCUCUUGAGCCUGAGCAAAUGAUAAUAUCAGCCUUCGCCAGAAUUAUGACAUUUAAAGAGCGAAUGAAGUACCCUAACACCACACCUUUGAUUUGGUACAUUCCAGCCAACAUUUCUGUAAGGACCCUUUUAUUAUUUUCUUUUUGUAUUUAUUUUUUUGAUUGACUGAAAGAGAGUAGAUGUGACUGGUUUUAGAUAAUAAUUUUCAAAUUUGAUCUUAUUGAUUAAAAUUUUCAUUUUCUUAUUAUAGAAUAUUUUUUUUAAAUUAGAGAGAUUGUAGCUGGAUUUCCUUAGUUAAACAGAUUUCACCAUAGGUUAUGGCCUUUGUGAUCAAAACCCUCUGUACUUUUAUCAUGUCAGAGUAUAAGUUUUUAUUUUUGAAUUCAAAGGUACUCUGCCUAAUUUUUUAACCUUUAUUUUAUCCCACAAAAAUAUCUUGGGGAUGAUUUCCCAGUUCGUAGAGUAGCUUAUGAAAACAAAUGGAGGGAGUUUCACUAUGGUGAUUUCCGGAGAUGUCAAGGGGUAACAAUUUUUUUUUUUAUGUUUGCAAUUUUCCUUUGAACAAAUACAUUUGAAUGGUAACUUUUUUAUUACAAAUAACUGCUUCUAAUACUUGGUAAAAUAAUGUGUAGAUGUUAAUACCCGUUUUCAUCAAAGAGGGUCUAAAUAUGGUUAAGUAGUUCAUGGCAAGAGUAAAAAUAAGGCCAAUAAACAAACAAUAAUUUGGGACCCUAGAGAUACAGAUAGUGAGAAAGAAACCAAAGUUGAACAUACCCAAGAAAUGGUAAUGUGCUGCAUUUAGUAAAACUUACAAGGGAAUAUUUAUUUUAAUAUGUGUACUGACUAUGAUAUUUGUUCUAUGUUCCUUUGAUGGAUUUUUUCCGUUGGCCAUAUUGGAUGUGUUGUUCAAAUAUGAAAUUUGUGGCACACAAUCCCAAGGCUUCACAUUUACUUCCUUUGAAAUUGGGUUUGAGAGCGGUUUGCCCCAACAUGAGAAUGACUUCGACUCCAGCGUACCUGUUUUAAAGUUUAUGGGAGCGUUAGGUGAUGGGAAUGGCAUUGUGUACGAGUACCGUUUCGGUAACGAAAUAAUAUCACACGAGAAUAAAUGUAUGGAGCAAGUAGUACGGGAAAUCGAUGACCAUUUUUCAGUUUGAAUUUGGUUCCUCUAGUGAAGCUACAACUACUUCUUUAUUGGCCAAAGAUGAUGCUAAACAGGGACUACUUUGCAGUCCAAGCAAGGACAGCCCUGACAAGAGAUUCUCUACAAAGAAAGGCCAGCGCGCAAACAUGAUACCAGCUGUUUCAUCUAGGACAAGAAGUGCAGCCAAAUACGUCGUUGCACGUAAGCUCAAUGUUGAGGAGACUAUUCCUUCAGUCCAUUCUCUUUUGAUUUGUUUUUCCAAGAUUGCAGUUUCUGUUGUGUGGGCAAUUUUUUUGGUUCUUUUGGUUGAAGCCUCAAUUAAUUGGAACCUUUUUAGGUUGUAUUGGUUGCAGUCUUUGUCUUUUGGAACUAUGUCUCUGUUAGGCAGGAUUAGUUUGUUAUGUAAUUUCGUUUAUGUAAGUUUAUUACGUUGGCUCCUCAGACUUUGGGAGGGAGUAAACCUUGAGCAAAUAGACAUUUUUUUUACUAUAAGUGUAAGUGGUAGAACUCUAACAAGUUAUAUGCAUCUUAAAAAUAUCAUACAAUCAAAAUUUAUUACUAAAUAUCAUUUUUAAUAAAUAAAGUUACAUUCGUAGAUA